GACGAACGCUGGCGGCGUGCUUAACACAUGCAAGUCGAACGGUAAGGCCCUGCUUUUGUCUGGUGCUCGAGUGGCGAACGGGUGAGUAACACGUGAGUAACCUGCCCUUGACUUUGGGAUAACUUCAGGAAACUGGGGCUAAUACCGGAUAGGAGCUCCUGCUGCAUGUUCGGGGGUGGAAAGGUUCGGCGGUUGGGGAUGGGCUCGCGGCUUAUCAGCUUGUUGGUGGGGUAGUGGCUUACCAAGGCUUUGACGGGUAGCCGGCCUGAGAGGGUGACCGGCCACACUGGGACUGAGAUACGGCCCAGACUCCUACGGGAGGCAGCAGUGGGGAAUAUUGCACAAUGGGCGGAAGCCUGAUGCAGCAACGCCGCGUGCGGGAUGACGGCCUUCGGGUUGUAAACCGCUUUCGCCUGUGACGAAGCGUGAGUGACGGUAAUGGGUAAAGAAGCACCGGCUAACUACGUG
rnacentral:rRNA from 1 species